rnacentral:rRNA from 1 species
CGAACGGGUGAGUAACGCGUAGGUAACCUGCCUUAUGCAGGGGGAUAACAGUUAGAAAUGACUGCUAAUACCGCAUAAGCGCACAGGAUUGCAUGAUCUGGUGUGAAAAACUCCGGUGGUAUAAGAUGGACCCGCGUUGGAUUAGCUUGUUGGUGGGGUAACGGCCCACCAAGGCGACGAUCCAUAGCCGGCCUGAGAGGGUGAACGGUCACAUUGGGACUGAGACACGGCCCAGACUCCUACGGGAGGCAGCAUG